GACGAACGCUGGCGGCGCGCCUAACACAUGCAAGUCGAACGAGCGAGAGAGAGCUUGCUUUCUCGAGCGAGUGGCGAACGGGUGAGUAACGCGUGAGGAACCUGCCUCAAAGAGGGGGACAACAGUUGGAAACGACUGCUAAUACCGCAUAAGCCCACGGCUCGGCAUCGAGCAGGGGGAAAAGGAGCAAUCCGCUUUGAGAUGGCCUCGCGUCCGAUUAGCUAGUUGGUGGGGUAACGGCCCACCAAGGCGACGAUCGGUAGCCGGACUGAGAGGUUGAACGGCCACAUUGGGACUGAGACACGGCCCAGACUCCUACGGGAGGCAGCAGUGGGGAAUAUUGCACAAUGGGGGAAACCCUGAUGCAGCGACGCCGCGUGGAGGAAGAAGGUCUUCGGAUUGUAAACUCCUGUUGUUGGGGAAGAUAAUGACGGUACCCAACAAGGAAGUGACGGCUAACUACGUG
rnacentral:rRNA from 1 species